rnacentral:tRNA from 1 species
GGGGGUGUAGCUCAGUGGUAGAGCACAUGCUCAGCAUGCAUGAGGCCCUGGGUUCAAUUUCCAGCACCUCCA